UGUGUAGGUGGCAGUGUUAGUCGUUUGUUAAAGCCUGGGGCUCAACCCCAGAAUCGCGAACGAAACGGCACAGCUAGAGGAUGCGAGGGAUGUAUGGAACUCAUGGAGUAGGGGUGAAAUCCGUUGAUAUCAUGGGGAACACCGGAAGCGAAGGCAGUACAUUGGCGCACUCCUGACACUGAAACACGAAAGCGUGGGUAGCGAAUG
rnacentral:rRNA from 1 species